GUUUUUGAGAGCAACGGUUCCUCCAGAAUGUGGGUGUCCGGAGUUAUUGCCUCGGACUGGCUGGAUCUCUCUGUGCUAUCUGUCUGUCUGUCCGCCUUUCUUUCUGCUUGUCUGUCUUUCCAUUGUAGAGAACAAAGCGGAGUGAUGUAAAAUAGAAAAUGAGAAAAGCAAACCUUUGGUGAUUGAAGAGGAGGAAGGAAAAUGAAAGAGAAAAAGCUGAAGAGUGGGAAAAAGAUAAAAUAAAAUGAAUUUUGGGGAUUCCACUGUGAGUAAGAGCUGAAAAAAAAAAGCCUAAUCACUUCGGGUUAGUGAUAUAGAGCACAGCAGUUCCACAGGGACAAAGACUUGUAAGUAUCUGUGUUAUUGCCACAGAUAGAACAAUGCCAGUUCUUUUGAAUUCUUAAAAAUGUAGAAAUCGGAAGGGAGCAAGGAAUAGCCAACUAGUCUCUCCUGUUUGCUUUACCCUCCUCUCCCUGUGUUACUGGAUGUUUAGAUUGUGUCUGACGCGUAUGGCCGGACCAGUCCUUUCUGGUGCUUGGUUCCACUAUGUGCAUCAGGAAUUGGUUUGGGUGCAUAAUGCCACGUGUUGGGAUGCAGCAGGUGCCUUGCACCCAGCAUCUGCAGCACGUGCCUGGUUGGAUAUCUGAGCCGAGGGAGGAAGCGCUGCUGGAUUUGGGACCGGCUCCAUAUAUGAAGAGCACCUGGAGGAAAGCCAAGUGCCGGGGAGAGAGAGCAGAGGAUGAGAUAGUGCCGCGCAUCAGAACGGCCUCGAAACGAAUGUCGUGUAUCCUCAGCUUUGAGAACUGAAUUCCAUGGGUUGUAAUUGAAUCCUUUGUCAGACCCAUGGGGCUCAGUUCUUCAGCUUGGAUAUUUCUGUCUUCACAUACACGGGAGAUCAAAGAAGCACUUGAUCAUGCGCUGACUCUUCUGGAUUCUGAUAGCAGCAAAUAGGAAAGAGAAAGAAUAACUGAUGUGAAUCACUCUGGCAGGGAGGUUUCACUGCAAAGACCAAGCUCUCUCAUGUCGAGUAGCUGCACUGUGAUUGAACCUCUCCGUGGCUGACAGUCCGUCCCUGCAUUGCUGCUUGCUGGUUAAUUCAACUCUCCUCUCAUUUUUAUCGAAGUUACAUACGAAGUGCUGAGAUGAUGUUGACUGAAUUAUGCUUCCCAAAAAUUGUGUGGUGCUGCUGAAUGUGGCUCUGGUCCCACAUGGGACCAGCAGCACCCCCACCCUCUUUUUGUCUGCUGCAGCCUCCUGUGGGAUCACUGCUGCACAGCUACUGUUUCCUCUUUUUUGGCCCCCUGGAGGUGGACUCAUUUAAGCUGUGGGCUGACAAAGUUUGUGUUUCUUCCUUGGAAGAUCUGUGUUAAAGUUUAUUUUCUUUCAGGCAUCAGGAAAAUAAAAUUUAUGGUCUUCAAACA
rnacentral:lncRNA from 1 species